UACAGAGGUCUCAAGCGUUGUUCGGAUUCAUUGGGCGUAAAGGGUGCGUAGGUGGCGAUGUAAGUCGGAUGUGAAAUCUCCAGGCUCAACUUGGAAACUGCAUUCGAUACUGCGUCGCUCGAGGAUUGUAGAGGGCAUUGGAAUUCACGGUGUAGCAGUGAAAUGCGUAGAUAUCGUGAGGAAGACCAGUGGCGAAGGCGAAUGCCUGGGCAAUUCCUGACACUGAGGCACGAAGGCCAGGGGAG
rnacentral:rRNA from 1 species